AGGUCUCAACCCUCACACUGCUCUCUUCCGCCCUCCACCAAUCACACGUGUACGGCCACUUACGUCAUUCACGAUUCGACCAAUACCAGCUCACUUACAGGCGGGAGUUGCUUUUCUUCUGUCUGUAAGCUCAGUUUCCUCCGGCGCGCUGAAGGGAAAUGAGUUAUUAUUAAUAGCUGUGCCUGAAAACCUGAAUUAAUCUGCUUGUUGUGUCUGACUGAUGGGAGCUGCACGUAGGAACGAUUAGCUGUUUAGCCGUGAUGAAGGAUGUGAUCGAGUGGCAGGGUGGACAGCACAAAUCUCGCUGUUCUGUUCUCUAGGUCAGAUUCCCGAGCUCCACGAUAAAAACGUCAUCUCCGUGGAAGUGUUGUUAUCGGAGGCCGUCAGGAGAGACUGGAGGGAAAGGAGCACGCGCGUUCCAACCCAAACCUUGCAUCGGCUUUAGUGUGGAUGACUCACGCUGGCCGACGUUUUAAGAGUAAAGUUUACAGUCAGGGCGAGAAGUGGACGACGACGCAAGGUGCAGCAAAGACAGGCGUGGGAAGGAGACGAUGGCUUGUCCAGGAAAUGAAGAGGCGAAGCAAAUAACUGGAAAGUCGACUGGAAGGAAAUGAUAAGGUCUUCCAAACAAUGAAAUCGCACGAGAGAAUCCGUUUUGCCAACCAGGCGUGUGGAACUCUUUGCAGCAAUGUUCCCAGCGAGGCGAGGCAGGUUGGCAGGGAAGCAUCAUCGGAGGGCGGGACUUGGUGAGGCAGCGAUGCGUGCUGGAUGUGUGUGGGUCGCCUUCGUGUGCAGGUGGAUGAGGAGCGUUCAGGGAGCAUGCUGGUGGAGGGCCAGUGAAGGGCGCUUGUACGUUCGUCAAAGCGCAUGUCGACACACAGAUACCGGGUCUUGAUUUUUGGAGCAGAAUGAGAAAUUGUUGCAUAUCCCAAGACUUACUCAAGUGGAUGAGUGUUGCAUUGUCAGCCACUGGUGUGUGUGUGUGUUUGUCCUCCUUUUUUUACGUCUUUUUUUUUAAACGAAAAAUGUAUUAUCACACAAUACAACAUCAAAUCCAUGCAAUCAAUGAAUGCUGGAGAGGUUAUCAGACUUGCAGUGUGUCUAAACCAAGCAUUGUGUUCUGCUCUUGACGCAUGCAAGCCGCUAACUUCCUGUGUUCACGAGACACUAGCAACACUCAAAAACUACAGUAUUUAUCGCCCGUUUGAUUUUGAACCUGCGUCUACCUUUCAUUUUUUUUUUUUAGUGUCGUUCUUCACUACCUAACAGGCACCUGUAUUUGUCAGUGUGUUCUCAUGUUUGAUAUGUUGUUUAUUAAAGACUCUGAGUUUGUUUCUCCCUCGAA